AUUGAACGCUGGCGGCAGGCCUAACACAUGCAAGUCGAACGAGUGGCGGACGGGUGAGUAAUGUCUGGGAACCUGCCCGAUGGAGGGGGAUAACUACUGGAAACGGUAGCUAAUACCGCAUACCAUCGGAUGUGCCCAGAUGGGAUUAGCUAGUAGGUGGGGUAAUGGCUCACCUCGGCGACGAUCCCUAGCUGGUCUGAGAGGAUGACCAGCCACACUGGAACUGAGCCACGGUUCAGACUCCUACGGGAGGCAGCAGUGGGGAAUAUUGCACAAUGGGCGCAAGCCUGAUGCAGCCAUGCCGAGUGUAUGAAGAAGGCCUUCGGGUUGUAAAGUACUGUCAGCGAGGAGGCGUUACUCGCAGAAGAAGCACAGGCUAACUCCGUGCCAGCAGCCGCGGUAAUUC
rnacentral:rRNA from 1 species